AUUGAACGCUGGCGGCAGGCCUAACACAUGCAAGUCGAACGAGUGGCGGACGGGUGAGUAAUGUCUGGGAAACUGCCUGAUGGAGGGGGAUAACUACUGGAAACGGUAGCUAAUACCGCAUACCAUCAGAUGUGCCCAGAUGGGAUUAGCUAGUAGGUGGGGUAACGGCUCACCUAGGCGACGAUCCCUAGCUGGUCUGAGAGGAUGACCAGCCACACUGGAACUGAGACACGGUCUAGACUCCUACGGGAGGCAGCAGUGGGUAAUAUUGCACAAUGGGCGCAAGCCUGAUGCAGCCAUGGCGCGUGUAUGAAUAAGGCCUGCGGGUUGUAAAGUACUUUUAGCGGGGAGGCGUUACGCGCAGCAGAAGCACCGGCUAACUCCGUGCCAGCAGCCGCGGUAAUUC
rnacentral:rRNA from 1 species